rnacentral:rRNA from 1 species
AGAAUCAACGCUGGCGGCGUGCCUAACACAUGCAAGUCGAACGAGAAAGUGGAGCAAUCCAUGAGUAAAGUGGCGCACGGGUGAGUAACACGUGACUAACCUACCCUUGAGUGGGGGAUAACCUAGGGAAACCUGGGCUAAUACCGCAUAAUACCUUCGGGUCAAAGGAGCAAUUCGCUUAAGCGAGGGGGUCGCGGCCGAUUAGUUAGUUGGCGGGGUAAUGGCCCACCAAGACGAUGAUCGGUAUCCGGCCUGAGAGGGCGCACGGACACACUGGAACUGAAACACGGUCCAGACUCCUACGGGAGGCAGCAGUGGGGAAUUUGCGCAAUGGGGGAAACCCUGACGCAGCAACGCCGCGUGGAGGAUGAAGUCCCUUGGGACGUAAACUCCUUUCGAUCGGGACGAUUAUGACGGUACCGGAAGAAGAAGCCCCGGCUAACUUCGUGCCAGCAGCCGC